UACGUAGGGGGCAAGCGUUGUCCGGAUUUAUUGGGCGUAAAGCGCUCGCAGGUGGUUCGUCGCGUCGUGCGUGAAAGACCCCGGCUCAACUGGGGAGUGUCGUGCGAUACGGGCGGACUGGAGGCCAGUAGGGGGAUGCGGAAUUCCGGGUGUAGUGGUGGAAUGCGUAGAGAUCCGGAGGAACACCAGCGGCGAAGGCGGCAUCCUGGACUGGUCCUGACACUCAUGAGCGAAAGCGUGGGGAGCGAACAGG
rnacentral:rRNA from 1 species